rnacentral:lncRNA from 1 species
ACUUGAGCUAACCAAUUUUGAUCAAUUAUCCAAUUAGUUUUGUUCGCUUACCUAAUCAAUUUAUUGGUGUCUAAAGAAAGCAACGGGAGGACCCCCAUUAAUCUUCACUUAUCUGGUCAAUUUGAAAGAUUGAGUCACAAAUAUGGUUGCUUGAUGGUUUGAUUUAGCGUAUGUCAAUUACAUCAGUCAUAUGAUGACUGAUUAGAUAAGA